UACGUAGGGUGCAAGCGUUAAUCGGAAUUACUGGGCGUAAAGCGUGCGCAGGCGGUUUUGUAAGUCAGUGGUGAAAGCCUGCAGCUUAACUGCAGAAUUGCCAUUGAUACUGAUGAUCUUGAGUAUGAUUGAGGUGGGCGGAAUGUGUCAUGUAGCGGUGAAAUGCUUAGAUAUGACACAGAACACCGAUUGCGAAGGCAGCUCACUAAGCCAUAACUGACGCUGAUGCACGAAAGCGUGGGGAGCAAACAGG
rnacentral:rRNA from 1 species